rnacentral:rRNA from 1 species
AGCGAACGCUGGCGGCAGGCCUAACACAUGCAAGUCGAACGAACUCUUCGGAGUUAGUUGCUGACGGGUGGUUACCACCUGGGAACUUGCCCUUUGGUUCGCAAUAUCUUAGGGAAACUUAAGCUAUGACAGAAAGUGCUCUUCCCGCGAAAGAUUUAUCGUCUUUUGAGAGUGCCGCAACAGAUUCGAUUGCUGGUUAGGUAACGGGCCACGAAGGCUACGAGCAGUAGCUGGUCUUAGCGGAUGACCAAGCACACUGGGACUGACACACGGCCCAGACUCCUGCGGGAGGAAGCAGUGGGGAAUGUUGCGCGACGGGCGAGAGAAUGACGCAGCCAUGUCGUGUGAAUGAUGAAGGUCUUAGGAUUGUAAAAUACUUUGAACGGUGACGAUAAUGACGGUACCCGGAGAAGAAGCCCCGGCUAACUACGUG